UAAGGAAUAUUGGUCAAUGGACGCAAGUCUGAACCAGCCAUGCCGCGUGAAGGAUGAAGGUCCUCUGGAUUGUAAACUUCUUUUAUCUGGGACGAAAACGGGAUUUUUAUCUCAAUUGACGGUACCAGAGGAAUAAGCACCGGCUAACUCCGUGCCAGCAGCCGCGGUAAUACGGAGGGUGCGAGCGUUCUCCGGAUUUACUGGGUUUAAAGGGUGCGUAGGUGGGCUUAUAAGUCAGUGGUGAAAUCUCCGAGCUUAACUUGGAAACUGCCGUUGAUACUAUAGGUCUUGAAUUAUCUGGAGGUAAGCGGAAUAUGUCAUGUAGCGGUGAAAUGCUUAGAUAUGACAUAGAACACCAAUUGCGAAGGCAGCUUACUACAUAUAAAUUGACGCUGAGGCACGAAAGCGUGGGGAUCAAACA
rnacentral:rRNA from 1 species